AUUGAACGCUGGCGGCAGGCCUAACACAUGCAAGUAGAGCGGAGCGGCGGACGGGUGAGUAAUGCCUAGGAAUCUGCCUGGUAGUGGGGGAUAAGGUCCGGAAACGGGCGCUAAUACCGCAUACUAUCAGAUGAGACUAGGUCGGAUUAGCUAGUAGGUGGGGUAAAGGCCUACCAAGGCGACGAUACGUAACUGGUCUGAGAGGAUGAUCAGUCACACUGGAACUGAGACACUGACCAGACUCCUACGGAAGUCAGCAGUGGGGAAUAUUGGACAAUGGGCGAAAGCCUGAUCCAGCCAUGCCGCGUGUGUGAAGAAGGUCUUCGGAUUGUAAAGCACUUUAAGUUGGGAGGCGUUACCAACAGAAUAAGCACCGGCUAACUUCGUGCCAGCAGCCGCGGUAAUUG
rnacentral:rRNA from 1 species